rnacentral:rRNA from 1 species
GGGGGAAUAUUGCACAAUGGGGGAAACCCUGAUGCAGCGACGCCGCGUGAGUGAGGAAGUAUUUCGGUAUGUAAAGCUCUAUCAGCAGGGAAGAAAAAUGACGGUACCUGACUAAGAAGCCCCGGCUAACUACGUGCCAGCAGCCGCGGUAAUACGUAGGGGGCAAGCGUUAUCCGGAUUUACUGGGUGUAAAGGGAGCGUAGACGGUAAUGCAAGUCUGAUGUGAAAACCCGGGGCUCAACCCCGGGACUGCAUUGGAAACUGUGUAACUAGAGUGUCGGAGAGGUAAGUGGAAUUCCUAGUGUAGCGGUGAAAUGCGUAGAUAUUAGGAGGAACACCAGUGGCGAAGGCGGCUUACUGGACGAUGACUGACGUUGAGGCUCGAAAGCGUGGGGAGCAAACAGGAUUAGAUACCCUGGUAGU